rnacentral:rRNA from 1 species
UGGGGAAUAUUGCACAAUGGGGGAAACCCUGAUGCAGCAACGCCGCGUGAGUGAUGAAGGUUUUCGGAUCGUAAAGCUCUGUCUUUGGGGAAGAUAAUGACGGUACCCAAGGAGGAAGCCACGGCUAACUACGUGCCAGCAGCCGCGGUAAUACGUAGGUGGCGAGCGUUAUCCGGAUUUACUGGGCGUAAAGGGAGCGUAGGCGGAUGAUUAAGUGGGAUGUGAAAUACCCGGGCUCAACUUGGGUGCUGCAUUCCAAACUGGUUAUGUAGAGUGCAGGAGAGGGGAGUGGAAUUCCGAGUGUAACGGUGAAAUGCGUAGAGAUUAGGAAGAACACCAGUGGCGAAGGCGACUCUCUAGACUGUAACUGACGCUGAGGCUCGAAAGCGUGGGGAGCAAACA